rnacentral:rRNA from 2 species
AGUUAAUUUUAGAUGCAAGCAAUGAUUUCUUGGUAAAAAGCCAAGAAACUAGCUUAGAUAAACCAAUUAUGAGAAAAUGAUUAAGUAUCUAGAAUUAGACCCGAAGACUAGUGAUCUUACCAUGGUCAGGGUUAUAAAAGCCCGAACGGGUUAUCGUUGUAUAGAUAUCCGAAGAAUUGUGGUAAGUUAGUGAAAGACAAAACUGACUAGUAUAGCUGGUUUUCCGCGAAACCUAUAUGAGUAGGUAAUUUAAUUAACAUCUUAGCAGGUACAGAACUGUGAUCUCGGACAAUAUCAAUUGAUUUUGUCAACAUCGGGGGGUUGUAGUGACUUUACCGGAGAGUAUUUGCACUCGGAAUGGCAAAGAUGAAUGUUAAAUAAUCGGACAUAGUGCGAUAAGGUUGUAUGUCUAAAGGGAAACAGCCCAGAACAAGAGUUAAGGUUCCAAAAUUAUUGUUGAGUGAAAUUAAGGAUGUUUUUUUUUAAUACAAUCAGGAAAUAGGCUUAGAAGCGGCCAUUUUUUGAAGACCUCGUAACAGAGCACUGAUUUAUUUUAGAGAAAAAUUCCGAAAAUUUAACGGAUCUAAAUAAUAUACCAAAACCUUGUACACAUUUUAAUAAAUAUUUAUAUUGUAUAUGUGGGGUAGCGGAACAUUGGAU